rnacentral:rRNA from 1 species
AUUGAACGCUGGCGGCAUGCCUUACACAUGCAAGUCGAACGGUAACGGGCCUUCGGGUGCCGACGAGUGGCGAACGGGUGAGUAAUGUAUCGGAACGUACCAUUGAGUGGGGGAUAACGUAGCGAAAGUUACGCUAAUACCGCAUAUUCUCUCCGGAGGAAAGCAGGGGACCGCAAGGCCUUGCGCUCUUUGAGCGGCCGAUAUCAGAUUAGCUAGUUGGUGGGGUAAAAGCCUACCAAGGCGACGAUCUGUAGCGGGUCUGAGAGGAUGAUCCGCCACACUGGAACUGAGACACGGUCCAGACUCCUACGGGAGGCAGCAGUGGGGAAUUUUGGACAAUGGGGGCAACCCUGAUCCAGCCAUGUCGCGUGAGUGAAGAAGGCCUUCGGGUUGUAAAGCUCUUUCAGCCGGGAAGAAAACGCACAGGUUAAUACCCUGUGUGAAUGACGGUACCGGAAUAAGAAGCACCGGCUAACUACGUGCCAGCAGCCGCGGUAA